rnacentral:rRNA from 1 species
GAUGAACGCUAGCGGCAGGCUUAAUACAUGCAAGUCGAGGGGCAUCAAGGUACACGAAAGUGUAUUGUUGGCGACCGGCGGACGGGUGAGUAAUAGGUAGGUAACCUACCUCAUACUGAGGCAUAGCUGGGAGAAAUUCCAGGUAAUUCCUCAUGAGGUUAUAUGACACAUGUGAUAUAAUCAAAGGUAUCGCAAGGUACUGGUAUGAGAUGGGCUUACUGACCAUUAGCUAGUUGGUGAGAUAAGAGCUCACCAAGGCGAAGAUGGUUAGGGGUUUUGAGAGAGAGAUCCCCCACAUUGGAACUGAGAUACGGUCCAGACUCCUACGGGAGGCAGCAGUAGGGAAUAUUGGGCAAUGGGCGAAAGCCUGAUGCAGCAACGCCGCGUGCGGGAUGACGGCCUUCGGGUUGUAAACCGUCUUCUAGCAGGGACGAAGUAGAAAUGACGGUACCUGCAGAAGAAGACACCGGCUAACUACGUGCC